rnacentral:piRNA from 1 species
UCUUUUCUUCUUAUAUGCCUG